GAUGAACGCUAGCGGCAGGCCUAACACAUGCAAGUCGAGGGGCGGCACAGAAACAGCAAUGUUUUGGUGGCGACCGGCGGACGGGUGCGUAACGCGUAUGCAACCUACCUUUAACAGGGGGAUCACGGAGAGAAAUUUCCACUAAUACCCCAUAACAUCGAUCAAGGCAUCUUGAUUGGUUGAAAACUCCGGUGGUUAAAGAUGGGCAUGCGUUGUAUUAGGUAGUUGGUGAGGUAAUGGCGCACCAAGCGUACGAUACAUAGGGGGACUGAGAGGUUAGCCCCCCACACUGGUACUGAGACACGGACCAGACUCCGACGGGAGGCAGCAGUGAGGAAUAUUGGUCAAUGGGGGCAACCCUGAACCAGCCAUGCCGCGUGCAGGAAGACGGCUCUAUGAGUUGUAAACUGCUUUUAAACAGGGAUAAAGCACAGUAUGUAUACUGUGUUGAAGGUACUGUAAGAAUAAGGAUCGGCUAACUCCGUGCCAGCCGCCGCCGUAA
rnacentral:rRNA from 1 species